rnacentral:rRNA from 1 species
GACGGAGGGUGCAAGCGUUGUUCGGAAUUACUGGGCAUAAAGGGUGCGUAGGUGGCUUGUUAAGUCAGGGGUGAAAGUUUUCGGCCCAACCGGAAAAUGGCCUUUGAUACUGGCGAUCUCGAGUCCGGAAGAGGUGAGUGGAACUCCUAGUGUAGAGGUGGAAUUCGUAGAUAUUAGGAAGAACACCAGUGGCGAAGGCGACUCACUGGGCCGGUACUGACGCUGAGGUGCGAAAGCGUGGGGAGCAAACAGG